CUGAGAUCAUGCCCUCACGGGUAGACCUCCCACCCUGUUUACCUUACCUUUGUUGCUUUGGCAGGCCCGCCCCCGGGCACUCGGCCCCGGCUGAGCAGCGCCUGCCAGAGGACCCCAACCCUAAUGUUUACGUGUCGUCUGAGUACUAUAUAAUAAGUUA
rnacentral:misc_RNA from 1 species